rnacentral:lncRNA from 1 species
UAUUAUUUCACUAAAAUAAGCUAUAAACUUACACUAGAAGAACCAUUUAUAUCAAACAAAUUGAUAUAUAGAUUAUUACCAAAAUCAAAACAUUGAAAGGUUCGAAUAGUCCAAUCAAAAUAGACUAUAUUCCAAUUAAAUUUCUAGUUUUAUCUAAAAUAAAAUAUAUUAGUAACUUUGGUCAAAUCAUAUGCAUAUGAACUCGGUUUCUUCUUCUUCUUCUAUUUAUUUUUUUUUUUUUUUUUUUUUUUUUUUUUUUUUUUUUUUUUUUUUUUUUUUUUUUUUAAAAGAGAUAGGUAAUAUAUAUGCUACCCGUUUUGUUUAUUUCAUUUAGAAAUAAACUUGACUGAAAAUGUAAAUCAACUAGAAUUCGAAUUUGGUAUCUCAGAUACCAACUAUCAAAUCCUUUGCCACUUGCUUUAGGAACAAUAUAUGAACUCGGUCAUUAACUCUAGACUUGUUAUGAAUUUCAAAUAUCUCAAUUGAGUCAGCGUAGUUUGACCUGGUUUGACUCGAAAUCUGAGGCAACCGCUUUUUUUGUACCAAAUUUGAUUGAAAUCUAGUUGAGUCAAGUGGACUACGCUGAAUUUCAAAUCGGCUCGCCUAGUUUCAGUGUGAUGGUUAAAUCGAAAGUAAGAGAAAACCAUUAAACAUAAAAUUGACCUCAAAAAAUCAAUUCUCAGCUCAGAAACCAUGUUUUAUUAAGACCAUUAUUACAACGGAAGCCCAUAUUUUGUAAGGAAAAUUUUAAAAUAAUAUAUUUUGUUUAUUGUUUUUAGUGAAUGGAUGUGAUUCUUCGUGAAAGAAUGCAAUCCUUAGUGAAUGGAUGCAACUCUUAGUGAAUGGAUGCAACCCUUAGUGAGUGGAUCCAACUCUAAUCAAAGGGUAUGACUCUUAGAGUGAAAAGAUGUGACUUUUAGUGAAAGAAUAUGAUAUGAAAAGACACAUCUUUAUAGUGUGUCUUUUUGUACAUAUGCCCGUUGGAAUCAAUGGUUAUAUUCAUUGAACUUGAUUCAUAUAACUAUUUGGUAGUUAUGAUCAAAUGAAAAGUCACAAUCGAAAGGUCACUUCACGAAACACCCUUUCGUGAAUAGUUACUUCAUNAAGUGCAUUGCAAUGGAGUCCGCGAGAGCAAAUAGUGCAAGAAUUUGCACUUGGCAAAUUUGCUCUCGGGGACCGGUCCCUGGAGGGAGUGACCGGUUCCCGAACGUUGUCUACGCGAGCUUGCUCUCGGGGACCGGUCCCAGGAGGGAGGGACCGGUUGCCCCGAGGCUGAGGGCUGUGGCAAGCGCGAGGCAACCGGUCCCUGGGCCAGAGGGACCGGUUCCCGAACACGUGAGAUUGAGGAGGUCCCUCUGGGACCGGUCCUAGGCAGGGAGAGACCGGUCCCCGAGCCUGAAACUUG